GCUGGGGUGGCGGAAUCGGCAUACGCGCACGUUUGAGUGGCGUGUCCCGAAAGGGAUGCGGGUUCAAGUCCCGCCCCCAGCA
rfam:Elusimicrobia bacterium RIFOXYB2_FTLL_49_7 rifoxyb2_full_scaffold_6494, whole genome shotgun sequence.